rnacentral:rRNA from 1 species
AGUCGAGCGGUAAGGCCCUUCGGGGUACACGAGCGGCGAACGGGUGAGUAACACGUGGGUGAUCUGCCUCGCACUUCGGGAUAAGCCUGGGAAACUGGGUCUAAUACCGGAUAUGACCAUGGAAUGCAUGUUUUGUGGUGGAAAGAUUUAUCGGUGCGAGAUGGGCCCGCGGCCUAUCAGCUUGUUGGUGAGGUAACGGCUCACCAAGGCGACGACGGGUAGCCGACCUGAGAGGGUGACCGGCCACACUGGGACUGAGACACGGCCCAGACUCCUACGGGAGGCAGCAGUGGGGAAUAUUGCACAAUGGGCGGAAGCCUGAUGCAGCGACGCCGCGUGGAGGAUGACGGCCUUCGGGUUGUAAACUCCUUUCGACAGGGACGAAGCGCAAGUGACGGUACCUGUAGAAGAAGCACCGGCCAACUACGUGCCAGCAGCCGCGGUAAUACGUAGGGUGCGAGCGUUGUCCGGAAUUACUGGGCGUAAAGAGCUUGUAGGCGGUCUGUCGCGUCUUCUGUGAAAACUUGGGGCUCAACCUUAAGCUUGCAGGCGAUACGGGCAGACUAGAGUACUUCAGGGGAGACUGGAAUUCCUGGUGUAGCGGUGAAAUGCGCAGAUAUCAGGAGGAACACCGGUGGCGAAGGCGGGUCUCUGGGAAGUAACUGACGCUGAGAAGCGAAAGCAUGGGUAGCAAACAGGAUUAGAUACCCUGGUAGUCCAUGCCGUAAACGGUGGGUACUAGGUGUGGGUUUCCUUCCACGGGAUCCGUGCCGUAGCUAACGCAUUAAGUACCCCGCCUGGGGAGUACGGCCGCAAGGCUAAAACUCAAAGAAAUUGACGGGGGCCCGCACAAGCGGCGGAGCAUGUGGAUUAAUUCGAUGCAACGCGAAGAACCUUACCUGGGUUUGACAUACACCGGAAACCUGCAGAGAUGUAGGCCCCCUUGUGGUCGGUGUACAGGUGGUGCAUGGCUGUCGUCAGCUCGUGUCGUGAGAUGUUGGGUUAAGUCCCGCAACGAGCGCAACCCUUAUCUUAUGUUGCCAGCGCGUAAUGGCGGGGACUCGUGAGAGACUGCCGGGGUCAACUCGGAGGAAGGUGGGGACGACGUCAAGUCAUCAUGCCCCUUAUGUCCAGGGCUUCACACAUGCUACAAUGGCCAGUACAGAGGGCUGCGAGACCGUGAGGUGGAGCGAAUCCCUUAAAGCUGGUCUCAGUUCGGAUCGGGGUCUGCAACUCGACCCCGUGAAGUUGGAGUCGCUAGUAAUCGCAGAUCAGCAACGCUGCGGUGAAUACGUUCCCGGGCCUUGUACACACCGCCCGUCACGUCAUGAAAGUCGGUAACACCCGAAGCCGGUGGCCUAACCCCU